rnacentral:rRNA from 1 species
AUUGAACGCUGGCGGCAGGCCUAACACAUGCAAGUCGAGCGAGCGGCGGACGGGUGAGUAAUGUCUGGGAAACUGCCUGAUGGAGGGGGAUAACUACUGGAAACGGUAGCUAAUACCGCAUACCAUCAGAUGUGCCCAGAUGGGAUUAGCUAGUAGGUGGGGUAACGGCUCACCUAGGCGACGAUCCCUCGCUGGUCUGAGAUGAUGACCAACCACACUGGAACGGAGACACGGUCCAGACUCCUACGAGAGGCAGCAGUGGGGAAUAUUGCACAAUGGGCGCAAGCCUGAUGCAGCCAUGCCGCGUGUGUGAAGAAGGCCUUCGGGUUGUAAAGCACUUUCAGCGGGGAGGCGUUACCCGGAGAAGAAGCACCGGCUAACUCCGUGCCAGCAGCCGCGGUAAUUG